GGGCCGCUAGCUCAGUUGGUAGAGCAACGGACUCUUAAUCCGUCGGUCGUAGGUUCGACCCCUACGCGGCUCA
rnacentral:tRNA from 1 species